rnacentral:rRNA from 1 species
UGCCUAAUACAUGCAAGUCGAANNAUGAAUCUCUCUGCUUGCAGAGAGAGGAAGAGUGGCGAACGGGUGAGUAACACGUGAGGAACUUGCCCAUAAGAGGGGGAUAACAUCCGGAAACGGGUGCUAAUACCGCAUAGGUGAUACAGUUGCAUGACCGUAUCAUGAAAGGUGGCUCUGCUACCGCUUAUGGAUAGCCUCGCGGCGCAUUAGCUAGUUGGUGGGGUAAAGGCCUACCAAGGCGAUGAUGCGUAGCCGACUUGAGAGGGUGAUCGGCCACACUGGGACUGAGACACGGCCCAGACUCCUACGGGAGGCAGCAGUAGGGAAUCUUCCACAAUGGGUGCAAACCUGAUGGAGCAAUGCCGCGUGAGUGAAGAAGGACUUCGGUUCGUAAAGCUCUGUUGUUGGAGAAGAACAAGGAUAGGAGUAACUGUCUAUCCCUUGACGGUACCCAACCAGAAAGUCACGGCUAACUACGUGCCAGCAGCCGCGGUAAUACGUAGGUGACAAGCGUUGUCCGGAUUUAUUGGGCGUAAAGCGAGCGCAGGCGGCUCUUUAAGUCUGAUGUGAAAGCCCACGGCUCAACCGUGGAACGGCAUU